UACGGGGGGGGCAAGCGUUGUUCGGAAUUACUGGGCGUAAAGGGCUCGUAGGUGGCCAACUAAGUCAGACGUGAAAUCCCUCGGCUUAACCGGGGAGUGGCGUCUGAUACUGGAUGGCUUGAGUUCGGGAGAGGGAUGCGGAAUUCCAGGUGUAGCGGUGAAAUGCGUAGAUAUCUGGAGGAACACCGGUGGCGAAGGCGGCAUCCUGGACCGAGACUGACACUGAGGAGCGAAAGCCAGGGGAGCAAACGGG
rnacentral:rRNA from 1 species